rnacentral:rRNA from 1 species
UCUGGUGACAAUGGCAAGGAGGUCACACCUGUUCCCAUGCCGAACACAGAAGUUAAGCUCCUUAGCGCCGAUGGUCGUCGGGCUUACGUCCCGCUAGAGUAGGACGUUGCCAGGC